rnacentral:rRNA from 1 species
UAUACAGCGAAACUGCGAAUGGCUCAUUAUAUAAGUUAUAGUUUAUUUGAUAGCACCUUACUACAUGGAUAACCGUGGUAAUUCUAGAGCUAAUACAUGCUACAAGCCCCAACUUCGGAAGGGGUGUAUUUAUUAGAUUCAAAACCAAUGCCCUUCGGGGCUCUUUGGUGAUUCAUGAUAACUGAUCGAAUCGCAUGGCCUUGUGCUGGCGAUGGUUCAUUCAAAUUUCUUCCCUAUCAACUGUCGAUGCGAGGGUCUUGUCCUCGCAUGGUAGCAACGGGUAACGGAGGGUUAGGGCUCGACCCCGGAGAAGGAGCCUGAGAAACGGCUACUACAUCUAAGGAAGGCAGCAGGCGCGCAAAUUACCCAAUCCCAACACGGGGAGGUAGUGACAAUAAAUACUGAUACAGGGCUCUUUUGGGUCUUGUAAUCGGAAUGAGUACAAUUUAAAUCCCUUAACGAGGAACCAGUGGAGGGCAAGUCUGGUGCCAGCAGCCGCGGUAAUACCAGCUCCACUAGCGUAUAUUAAAGUUGUUGUGGUUAAAAAGCUCGUAGUUGAACCUAGUGGUCUACUGUCUUCUGUCCUCACCGAUGGAAGAUUGGUGGGCCACCACCGGUCGUGAUGGUAACGUCACGGCCACGAUUACUUUGAAAAAAUUAGAGUGCUCCAGGCAGGCUUAUGCUCGAAUAGUUCAGCAUGGAAUAAUAAAAUAGGACGUGGGUUCUAUUUUGUUGGUUUCUAGGACCAGCGUAAUGAUGAAUAGGGACAGUCGGGGGCAUCCGUAUUCCUCAGUCAGAGGUGAAAUUCUUGGAUCUGAGGAAGACGAACUACUGCGAAAGCAUUUGCCAAGGAUGUUUUCAUUAAUCAGGAACGAAAGUUAAGGUCGCGAAAACGAUCAGAUACCGUUGUAGUCUUAACUAUAAACUAUGCCGACUAGGGAUUGGAUGCUGUACUUUACCGAACGCAUCCAGCACCUUUCGAGAAAUCAAAGUGC